GACGAACGCUGGCGGCGUGCUUAACACAUGCAAGUCGAACGGAAAGGCCUGCUUUCCCUUGUGGAUUGCGGGUACUCGAGUGGCGAACGGGUGAGUAACACGUGAGUGAUCUGCCCCCAACUUGGGUAUAAGCCUGGGAAACUGGGUCUAAUUCCCGAUAGGACUGCAGGGUGGUGCCUGUGGUGGAAAACGAUUUUCUAGUGGUUGGGGAUGAGCUCGCGGCCUAUCAGCUUGUUGGUGGGGUAAUGGCCUACCAAGGCGGCGACGGGUAGCCGGCCUGAGAGGGUGGACGGCCACAUUGGGACUGAGAUACGGCCCAGACUCCUACGGGAGGCAGCAGUGAGGAAUAUUGCACAAUGGGCGGAAGCCUGAUGCAGCGACGCCGCGUGGGGGAUGACGGCCUUCGGGUUGUAAACUCCUUUCGACCGCGAGGAAGCCACCUGGUUGGAAGGGUGGUGACGGUAGUGGUAGAAGAAGCACCGGCUAACUACGUG
rnacentral:rRNA from 1 species